rnacentral:rRNA from 1 species
UACAGAGGUCUCAAGCGUUGUUCGGAUUCAUUGGGCGUAAAGGGUGCGUAGGUGGCGUCGUAAGUCACACGUGAAAUCCCCAGGCUUAACCUGGGAACUGCGUGUGAUACUGGAUGGCUUGAAUUCGGGAGAGGGAUGCAGAAUUCCAGGUGUAGCGGUGAAAUGCGUAGAUAUCUGGAGGAAUACCGGUGGCGAAGGCGGCAUCCUGGACCGACAUUGACGCUGAACGGCGAAAGCUAGGGGAGCAAACGGG